AGGCAACUUUUGGGCCGGGCGGGUGCCCAGAGCUGAGCAUCUGUUCGACAGAUGUGGAGCCCAGCAGGAGGGGAAGGCAGGGAGGCGAUGGAGGUACGUGGACUUCACAUGACUCUGCUCCCUCCCUGCCAGGCAGGGACCUGCCGAGCCCCGGAGAAGGCACAAAUCACAGAGGAGCCCUUUGAAAGUCCUUAAGGAAAACUUCGACAAACUCUGUCUCCGCCAGCUUUCGACUCAGGCCCCCCUGCCGCCUUCAUCGCCACUGAGCUCACRCCAGGGGACAGGAAUUUCGCGUGGGGACCUUGCUCCCUGCCCUGGAGCGGCUGGGUUGUGCUGUCGGCUGCGCCCAAGCGUGCAACCGGGGCAGCCUGGAGCCUGCGAUGGAGGGAGCCGAGCCAGGGUUGCAAGAGACAGAGCUGCGAUGUCGGCAGGGACAACGGAGCCUGUGUGCCACUGCUCACGCCGAGGACCGUUCUGCUGCAUGGCGCACCCGGGGUGCGUGCACACCCUGCACCAACCAGUUUGGCACCGGCGGUGCCCACGCUGAGGUUUGUGAUGGGGGUAGCAGGAGGAUCCUGCCAGGACACUGGAUCAAAGAGCUGAUGCCAUCAUUGUCUCUGUUCUGGAGCAAGCCUGAAGAGGAUCCAUGGGCUCUUCUCAGGGGAUAUGAACCAUGGGAGACCCUUCAUCACUUCACUGCAUCUCUGGGGCUUUCAAAAUCCCUGACCUACCACCACACACCGAGGUCUCCCUGUGGCUGGGAGCCAUGUGAGAUGGAUGUAUAUGCAGCAGAGCCCCUGGAAAGUGGGCUGUAGGUGGGAGAUGACACCCACUCCUAUGUCCCACCAUUAUGAGAUGAGCUGGGUGCCAGGUGAGGCACAGCUGCAGCCCUAGCUGGCCCAGAUUCUCAGACUGGCCAUUGCAGCAUGGCUCUAUGGGAUGUCAAGGACUUUGCUGCAGGAGUCAUAGGUGGUUUUGCUAGUUGGGGAUGUGCAGAAACUCCCCAAGGUCCUCCUGCCCCAAGGACCUGUGUACUACAGGACCUGACACUCUACCUGGAGCUCAGCUCUCUACUCAGUAGGGCUGCCUCCUAUCUCGUCCUGACUAGGAGGAAGCAUCCUUGGUUAGCAAGAAGUCAAGAUCUCAGCUCCCACCCCUGUACCCCGUAGAGUUUGUGAGAACUUGGGCAGUGCCAGUGUCUCCUGCAUGGAGGGGAACAUCUCUCUCUUCCCUGGCCCCUUGUCAUCACCCCAACUCCUUCAGCAUUCGCAGCAUACCCCCAUCCUCCAGCACACCCCGCUGCGAGGCAACAAGGAGCAUGUGCCCUGGUCAAGCAGCGGUGUCUUUCCUUUUAAUCAAGGAUGAGGCCUGAUUAUUCCUGGUGCACAUGUAGGUGCCUCCAUAUUCAAUCCAGGCAACAUUUGCUUGCCGCAAAGUUCACACCAAUCCGCUAUGGCUCCUGCUUAAUCAGGGACUUGUUGCUGUGCCAAGACCGGUUUCAGCACUGCGUCAAGAUGUUUUAAGGCCAGAGAAGUCAGGAUUUGUGAGAAAUAGGUCGGCCUGUGACAGCAGAAGGAGGCUACUAAAUACAAGACACUAUGUUAUCGGGGGAAAAAAAUGCUGAGGCCUUUGCAUUGCAGGAAGGGGAGGGAGCGACUGGCGCGGCUGCAGACCCAGCAUUAAUAUUCAGCCUUUGGAUGAUGACUUGUCAAUAACAGCAGCUGAGCAGGGGCUUAGCAGAGGCAACAGGUACCAGCCCAGGCCGGCGGGUUUGCAGUCUGGAACCAGCUGGGGCUGCAUCUCCUUGCCUGGACACCGGCACCGACAGCCACCACGAAUCCUCUGUCCUGGGGGGGGGUUAUGUGCCCCCCCCACCCCUCCUUCCCCUGACACAUUGUGAGUGGAUGUAGUACUCGUGAUGCCAGCCAGGUGGUACCACGGGCAGCAGGGAGACAAGAUCCCGCUGUCUUGUUGUUUCCCUCCAGCCUGCCCCACAGCCUUCUUGCUCUUCUGCUCCAGGGCUGAGUGUUAAGAUCUUGCAAAGCAGGAAGGGUUCCCUGCCAUCUCCUGCCUUGUGUUUGAGAUCUUUUGGCUUGCUCUUCCUGUGAGUGCCCUGGCUGGACACUGUGUCCCAAGCCUGCAGCCCUCUCCCCAAGGCCAAGCAAGUCUGGCAGGCCUGUUGGGGCCAGAGGAGCUGCUAGCUUGUAUCUCACUGAUAGGCAACAGGCAAACCUAUGAGGUUAUACCAAACGCAGGAAGGAUAUAGGAACAGGACAAGCACAGAUGAAACCUUCCAGAGUAUUCAGCCCCUUUUCCCAGAUGUGCCAGUUUAGUGCCACCUACUUUCUGGCCUUUCCUGUUCUCUUCUUCCUUGCCAAAAAGGGAUGGUGCCCAGGGUAUUUCACAAGACCAUCUUCUAUGGUCAGGGUUUCUCUGGGACAGGAACAAGACAGUAAGAGCAUCUCCCCUUUUCUUUCCCAGAUGUGCCACAAUAUAGCAUUAUUUUAUCCUGGCAGGGCCCUGGCUGACCCUGGGUUUCUGCCUUCUCUCACCUGCCCUAGACAUUGCUGAGAAAAUUUAUGUUAUCUUCAGGGACAUGAGGUCUGGGCAGGCGGGCAAUACCAGUACCCAUUGCUCUUCCAGCCCUGCAGGCCAAGGACAGCAGCACUGGAAGUCAUCUGAGCCCUGCCUCCUCCAAGCUGAUCAGUGGGAACCAAGGACUAGGGCCUCAAGGAGUACAUCCUGCUUGACCUUUAUGGUCAUUAAUUUCUUCAUUUUAUCUCACUUGCUGACACUGUUCUUUUUAAAGCUCCAUCUGCUGUAGGUAAUGCUACCUCCAGCAGUGGCAUGGCCACGAGCCUCCGCACCUCCAGUGGAUUCAGUUUCCCAGCGAGGGAGCAGACAUGCCAGGAGAUCAGAGCCUACAAAGGACUCAUAUGUCCUGCACCUUCCUCCUUCCUCUCUUGCAAAGCUGGACAGCGCUGAACCCCUGACAGUGAGCAGGAGAGCUUGGUGUGGCUCAGAAGCUCUCAGCUAUGACCUACUCAUUGCUGCAGUCUUCCAGAUGCUCCCACUCAUGUGACAGUGGUGACACAUUUCCUUUGACAUCCUUCCACCUUGCCAUCACAGACACAGGUCUCCCUUCCAAAGCUGCAAACCAGAAGCUUUACAGAAAUAAAAAUCGCUGCAUAAUUCCCUGGGAAUCA
rnacentral:lncRNA from 1 species